GCAGUGGUGGUUCAGUGGUAGAAUUCUUGGCUUUUAUGUGGGAGACUCGGGUUCAAAUCCUAGCCAAGGCA
rnacentral:tRNA from 1 species